rnacentral:rRNA from 1 species
UUGGAGGGCAAGUCUGGUGCCAGCAGCCGCGGUAAUUCCAGCUCCAAUAGCGUAUAUUAAAGUUGUUGCAGUUAAAAAGCUCGUAGUUGAAUUUCGGGAUUAGUACGCUGGUCGUGCCUUCGGUACGUACUGGUGUUACUGAUUUCUACCUUCUGACGAACCAUCAUGUCAUUAAUUUGGUGUGGUGGGGAAUCAGGACUGUUACUUUGAAAAAAUUAGAGUGUUUAAAGCAGGCUCGCGCUUGAAUACAUUAGCAUGGAAUAAUGAAAUAGGACGUUGAUCCUAUUUUGUUGGUUUCUAGGAUUGACGUAAUGAUUAAUAGGGAUAGUUGGGGGCAUUAGUAUUCAAUUGUCAGAGGUGAAACUCUUGGAUUUAUUGAAGACUAACUACUGCGAAAGCAUUUGCCAAGGAUGUUUUCAUUAAUCAAGAACGAAAGUUAGGGGAUCGAAGACGAUCAGAUACCGUCGUAGUCUUAACCAUAAACUAUGCCGACUAGGGAUCGGAUGAUGUUAAUUUUUUAAUGACUCAUUCGGCGCCUUACGGGAAAC